AUAACUCAAGUUUGUAUGGAGUUGGAACGUUCGCCUACGUUUGUCGCUAGGGGCGCUGUUCCAACUGCAUACAAAUUUGAGUUA
rnacentral:pre_miRNA from 1 species